UUCAAGGAGGAAGUUGAAGAUCAAGUUUUGUUUUUCUGAUACAUGAAUCAUAUGAACAUUUUCUCACAGCAGUGAUAUUCCUAUUGACAAAAUAAAAUACAUUGUAGUGAAAAA